rnacentral:rRNA from 1 species
ACGCUCGACACCUACGGGAGCAGCAGUGAGGAAUAUUGGUCAAUGGGCGCUAGCCUGAACCAGCCAAGUAGCGUGAAGGAUGAAGGCUCUAUGGGUCGUAAACUUCUUUUAUAUAAGAAUAAAGUGCAGUAUGUAUACUGUUUUGUAUGUAUUAUAUGAAUAAGGAUCGGCUAACUCCGUGCCAGCAGUCGCGGUAAUCUGAGCGGGCUGGCAAGGC